AGGACGAACGCUGGCGGCGUGCUUAACACAUGCAAGUCGAACGGAAAGGCCCUGCUUUUGUGGGGUGCUCGAGUGGCGAACGGGUGAGUAACACGUGAGUAACCUGCCCUUGACUUUGGGAUAACUUCAGGAAACUGGGGCUAAUACCGGAUAGGAGCUCCUGCUGCAUGGUGGGGGUUGGAAAGUUUCGGCGGUUGGGGAUGGACUCGCGGCUUAUCAGCUUGUUGGUGGGGUAGUGGCUUACCAAGGCUUUGACGGGUAGCCGGCCUGAGAGGGUGACCGGCCACAUUGGGACUGAGAUACGGCCCAGACUCCUACGGGAGGCAGCAGUGGGGAAUAUUGCACAAUGGGCGGAAGCCUGAUGCAGCAACGCCGCGUGCGGGAUGACGGCCUUCGGGUUGUAAACCGCUUUCGCCUGUGACGAAGCGUGAGUGACGGUAAUGGGUAAAGAGCACCGGCUAACUACGCGCCAGCAGCCGCGGUAA
rnacentral:rRNA from 1 species